GCCUGAUUUGUUUAUGACAUUAGGUACCAAACUGAAACUUGUGAAAACUUAUGGAUCAAAUCUAAAAUAUCUGUAAAGAAGCGUGGAAAAGUAUGUUAAGACCAAAAUGUGAACAGAGCCGUGGUACAAACAGUGGUAAAAUAAUAAAUAGCAUUCAGACCAAAGCUUUUAAAACGAUCACUCGCUGUCACACGCGGGUGUACGAAGCAGAAGCUACGUGGCGUAUUUAUAAUGGUUCAUCAUUUAUUGUGGGUCCUAACUUUUUUGGUCAUUAUUAACUUUUCUUUUCUCAUCUCAUCUCCAUCCCCUUUAUUAUUAAAGUUGACAAAUGACAAUUACGCGAUAAUCCGAGUUAAUCAGGAGAGCAGAGAUGUCAAACUAAUGAACUGACCCGUCUCCUAAACCAGUCGGACCAAAUUAUAAUACGUGAAACACCCUACCAAUCAUAAAUUCUAAUUUAUUACGCAAAAAUAAUUCUAAUUAAACUGAGCUCGACACGUACAGAUCAUGCUUUUGAACUUUAAUAGUAAAUCGUUUUCAAAAGGGAACAUCAAUAUCUUUAAAACUUGCUAAGUUGACGUUUGCGACUCAGUCCUCCUCGCUGAUAAAACAGAAUCUUAAUUUUAUAUGGCAUGGCAGCCAUAUAUACAAGAUAACAUGGCAGAAUAACACCACAUUAUCCUUGUAAUACGGCAUAUAACGUCGUACCAAUUCCUCCUUUUGGCACAAACACACAAGGACUUUUUUCUCACAAAAAUCAUAUGACACAGAAACGUACGUUAACAUUUUAAUCCGAUCAUACUCACUGUGAAAAAAUUAAUCUCAUUUGUCACCCAUAUCCCUACCUGAAAUGGAGUGAAUAUUUUAUAAUAUAAUAAAAAGUUGUUCAUCUUUAACAACAUAUAGAUCCAUCUUUUUACAAUCAUUUCACUGGUAGGUGACACAAACACUCAAUUCUCUCUAUCAUAAGUUCAUAACUUUUAAACUUAUUAACGUGAACUCCGGUUCUUUCUUUUGAGUUUUUACCAACCAAGUAAAUAUUUCCUUUCAAAAGUACGUACGCCAUUGGGACUGAAAUCAAGAAUCUUCCAAGAACUAGAGUUGAACUCCUAAAUUUCCAACAUAAAUAUGUGGCCACAAACAAAACUCACGAUUCUGAAAACAUGCUUAUCAUUCAGACCAUAUAAACUAUCACACAUAUGAUAGUUUUCAUUUUUGGAUUUGUUUCAUUUUGGUUUGCCCUGUGCGUGGGUUCCAAACAAUGAGAGUUGCUUUUUGUCAUGUAUAUUAGACCAAAAAAACAUUAAUAAACUAUCGCAAAGUAUAUCAGAAAUAUCAACUUCUGAAUUAUGACGGGAAUCGAUUAAGCUUGUUUUAGCUGAAACCAUUAUGAAUGGAUCAGCAAAGUUAUUCCUAAAGAAGAACGGACACCAUCAUUGUUGGUUCUUUUUGCAAUCUUUGAUUUGAUCUUCCAAGAAACAAAAUUAUCAGGGCGGCUGCUGAUUCUUUGAACCUGGGCCCUUUCACGCUUGGUCAAUUUUAUAGAGACAAGGAAGUUACAUUUCACCAGAUAUAGACAAGGAAGUUACAUUCCACCAAACCUAGGAAAUAAAUGUAUCUUACUAUUAAAAAGUUUCUUAUGACUCAUAAGAGUGAAAAUAUGUGACUUAUAUAUCCGUUAAAUUUUUAAAUGAUUUGUGGGUUUCAUUUUUUAGAUGUAUUUUACUAACUUUUAGAUAUGUUUUUUAACAAUUGUUUUGGCUAAAAACAAAUUACGUUUUAACAUUAAAUCUCUAACAUUUGAACUAUACCUUGAUCUGUCUAAAAUACUUUUUACUACGUUUUUAAUCAUUUAUAACGGAAAUUGUUUUUUAUUUCAUUUUGGUUAGAAAAAAUAGUUAUAAUAUAUAUGCUCAUAAAAUAACAUUUCUCAUAUCAAAUAUGGUAUUGCGAGUACGUAUAAUUAUGUAUUUUAAAAAUGAGAGGAUAAAAAAUAGAAUAUGAAAAUAUUGGGAUAACUCGUAAAUUAUUCCACUAACAGUUUGAAAUUUGAUAAAUACACCUUUUAUUUUAUUUUAUUUUUUGAAAACUACACUUUAUUAAUGUGAAUUGACUUUUUUAUCUAAAUAAGAUAAGACAUCGCAUGAAGAUGAUUGUCUUGAGACCAACAUAAUGAGCUGUUAGCGCAUGAACAUCCCAAGUUUCUUAAAGAAGUUUUUGACAAAAUGUGUACAGACGCGUGGGUUCCACAAAAUUUUUAAAAAUCAAUCCCCAAAAUCACCAAAUAAGAAUUGGUAUUUGAGAAGUUUUUGCACUGUUUGCGAAUCCCAACGACACGUAGCGACUCGCGAUUGAUUUAUUUUUUAAUUUAAAAAAAAAAAAAAAUUCUUAAAGAUCCCUACCGAUAAUCAUGGUCUUAGUUGUUAUGUUUAUCACUUAUCAGUUUAUUUCGACGUCAUAUGCCAUAUGCCAUGUAAGAUACAUGCUAUUACCAACAAUACUCUAUAACUAAUUAAUAUCCAGCGGUGUUUCAAAAAAAAAGAAAAAAAAAAUUAAUAUCCAGCGGUUACGUGAUCCAAAAGGCUCAAACAGGUUUGCUAACUUGGCCAAGAGGAAAUGGCGUCGGAUAAUGCUUCCUCCCACACUCAUUCUCAGGCCCCAACAGUCGACAUCAACUCACCUUUUGUCUUUAACUCUUUACUGGUACUGCCUUCAUCCCCAGCUCCUUUAAUAGAUCCUCUUGUUGAUAUUUCUCUAGCGGCAUCAGAUGAAAUCAGCUACAGCAUUGUAGCUACAAGCUCAAAUAGUUCUGAUAUGGCACAAAAAGAUAUGGAGUAGUUCAUAAUCGGGAGUAAUGCGUGAAAGAGAUAGUUGUACUCAUGGUCGUCGAUUUUGUGUAUAGAUACUCUAAAAGAUUUUUUUAAACAAUCUUUUUAAAAAAUAAAUUAGGAAUUGAGAAAUACAGUAUUAAGAUUGGACAACUUGGUAAAUUCAUAUAUACAUAAAUGUAUUUUUCCAAAAACUUAAAAUGGUGGUGUAGUUUUCAAAUUAUAAUCUUUUUGAGUGUAUUUCUCCAAAUUUUCCCUAAAAUAUAUGCAUCAUUUGUGGGAAAUCAUUUUACACCUUCCAAUAAGUAAACCAUAGGUACGUGCAUGGGUGGAUCUAAACAUAUUAUCAUGGGACAUAAUCAUAUCAAAUAACAAAAAAGAAAAUAGAUAAAAGUUGGGUUGAACUUGAGUGCAUGCAUGGGACAACGAGGGAGUUACCACUUGAGUUGUUGUCUCUUUUAAAAAACCAUCAAAAUUACAACUUGUACAACUUUUGUUUGUGGUAUAUUAUUAUUGCCACACCUACUGCUUAACCUAGUUACAGCCGGACAAGUGAAACAAAGCGUGACAUCAGCGAGCAGCCAAAGUGGAGUCCCCAAACUUAUCGGAAAAGAAGCCCCCAAACUAAUAAUCACCAAAGGAGUAGGAAGAGACAUAGCCUCCCUUAAUUUGAUUCAAGAUCAAGGUUUUACCUUAUAGAAAAAUAAAAACUUAAUUGGAGACCAAUGCAAUACGCUAAGAUAUGCACAUUGAGAAGUAUAUGCAUAUUUUAGAAACUUCCACUCUCAGCAAUGUACCUUCCACUCUAAGAAUCUUCAAAACCAAGCAAAAAAAAACUCUCACCAAAAGCAACUUUUCUCCUGCCACCAAACUCCUGAAAACCCAGUUCCUCCUAAAACAAACACGACACUGCUCUCAAUAAGCUUUUGGUUAUAUUUAUUAUACAAACGGGAAUCUAAAUGACUGAAGUAUAAGAAGACAAACGAGAAAAGUUUGAUCAACCAAACUUAUGUUUCAAAACCCUUACUCUUCCUGCUGCUUCUUGCAGUGGCAUUGGUCGUCUUUCAGACCAAAUCUCUAGCCAACGCUGUAGACUCCGAGUCUUCGAACUCAUCUAUAAAGCCAGUCGUGAAGAUCGUGAAAGGAAAACAUCUAUGCGACAAAGGAUGGGAAUGUAAAAGAUGGUCCGAGUUUUGAUGUAACCAUACAGUCUCCGUCUUUUUUUGAGACAUAUCAGUUCGAGAAUCUAUUCUCAAAACGAAACAGUCUUGUCGCUCACGCUGUCGGUUUUUGGGAUUGCCGAUUAUUCAUCAACGCCGCUACUGAGUAUCAGCCUCUUGACUUCGGUACCGCCGGAGAUAAAUUUCAAGGAAUCAAGGAAGUCUCUGCCUUUCUUGGUCACGUUCAGGCCUGGUCACGUUGGAAGCAAAACUUCAUCCAGUUAUAGCUAAAUCGUUUUAUUAAAUGUUAACCGGGUAAUUGAACCGCUAGUAGUUAACCGGUAUCGCUAUUUCGGUUUAAAGGCGGGUACGGUGUUGUGACGGGUGGACCAUUGGCUUGGGGGUUGUGACUCCUGAUCAGCUUUUUUGUGACGACUACUAUAAAUUAACGUAUCCAUGUACUCUUGGAGUUUCGUUACUACCAUGGUCGAGGAGCUUUAUCGGUUUACUGGAAUUACAGUUAUGGUCAAACCGGGGAGCUGGGAGGCGUUGAAAGUGGAUCUACUGUCAUCCAGAGUAUCUCGAGAACAAUGCGACAUUGGCGUUUCAAGCUGCUAUCUCGCGGUGGAUGGCGUCAGCGGCGUGCUUACCAUGGUUUUGAUAAGGCUUCUGCUUUAGGCCCCCGCAAAAUGUGCAGUUUUUAGAGUCCCUAAUUUCAUAAAAUUAUUCUGUAGAGUUAAAUGUAUAGUUUUAGGUAGAUUUUCACAUGAUUCUGAAUUUAACUUUUGUUUUCGAUGAAUGCUUUUAUUCUAAUAAAUUUCAAGAUGUGUUAUAACCA